rnacentral:rRNA from 1 species
UACGGAGGGUGCAAGCGUUAUCCGGAUUCACUGGGUUUAAAGGGUGCGUAGGUGGGCAAGUAAGUCAGUGGUGAAAUCUCCGGGCUUAACCCGGAAACUGCCAUUGAUACUAUUUGUCUUGAAUACUGUGGAGGUCAGCGGAAUAUGUCAUGUAGCGGUGAAAUGCUUAGAUAUGACAUAGAACACCAAUUGCGAAGGCAGCAGGCUACACAAAUAUUGACGCUGAGGCACGAAAGCGUGGGGAUCAAACAGG